UACGUAGGGAGCGAGCGUUGUCCGGAUUUAUUGGGCGUAAAGAGCUCGUAGGCGGCUUGUCGCGUCGACUGUGAAAUCCCGCGGCUCAACUGCGGGUCUGCAGUCGAUACGGGCAGACUAGAGGUAUGCAGGGGAGAACGGAAUUCCGAGUGUAGAGGUGAAAUUCGUAGAUAUUCGGAGGAACACCAGUGGCGAAGGCGGCUCACUGGCUCGACACUGACGCUGGAGGUGCGAAAGCGUGGGGAGCAAACAGG
rnacentral:rRNA from 1 species